GAACAAACAAACAAACAAACAAACAGUCAUAAACAAAACCUCUCUUUCUUUCAGUGAUGGAACUGAUCUGGCUUUCUAUCAACCUCCAAUAAACUUAGAAGGAACAGAAAACUUCAAACUAAAUGUACCACCUUCCUCAAAAUGUGUAAGAAAGACUAGGAUGAACUUAAGGAGUUUUUCAGUCACAUCACUUGAACCCAGCUACUUCAAAGUGUAAAGACAUGUUAAAUGCCAGGAACAAAGAAGGAGCAACAUACCUAGGGAAGAUUGAUGGAGGUGAGAAACAGACCACUAUUUCUCUUAGCUCAGGACGUUCUGCUCAAAGUGCGUACCAAAAAAAAAAAUACAAACCAGAAACAACAACUUGAAUCUACAAGAACGAGAAAAUUCAGAUGUAAAACAUCAACACUGAGCCCCAUCCACUGUAUUCUGAUCACAUCAAUCUCUCAGACCAACAGAAGGGCAAUCUCUCCUACCAGAAACAGGAUAUUUUCAUGUCUAUUCCUCUUCGUUCCAGUACAGAGCUGGAACAGAGAACGGGAACGCCGCUCUGCCACUGUGUCAGAUGAUUAA
ensembl:lncRNA